rnacentral:rRNA from 1 species
UACAGAGGGGGCAAGCGUUGUUCGGAAUUACUGGGCGUAAAGGGCGCGUAGGCGGCCUUCUAAGUCGAACGUGAAAUCCCCGGGCUCAACCCGGGAACUGCGUCCGAUACUGGAAGGCUUGAAUCCGGGAGAGGGAUGCGGAAUUCCAGGUGUAGCGGUGAAAUGCGUAGAGAUGUGGAGGAACACCGAUGGCGAAGGGCAGCCCCCCUGGGUCAAGAUUGACGCUCAUGCACGAAAGCGUGGGGAGCAAACAGG